CAUAGAGAAAAUAUUGUAAGAGGGUACGAGAAAGAAAAGUGGGGAUAGAGGAGUGCAAGAGAAAGAGAACGAGAAAGAUAAAGAUAAAGAUAAAGAAAGAGAAAAAGAGAGAGAGAGAGAGAGAGUGAUACUCGCAAGAGAUCAAGUAAACGACGACUAUACGUCAUAGGCGAGUACGCGCGUGGCGAUAUACGAACUAUACCCGUGGCAUCUUCUCUCUUGAUACUUAAACUGGUGGUGCGCUUUGAAGCCGGUCGCUUUAUAUGUUGUUGUUCGUGCGCUUGGAAUCCGUUACGACGACGAGUUCUUCUCGUGGCGUUUCUCCCGAUCGGACGCCGCCAUUGUUAUCGUCCGCGUUUGAGAAGAGAAGACGACGCUCGGUCGCGUCCUAGUCUGCAUCUUCUUUCUAAAUUUGCCAUUUCUGUCAUCCCCAUCCUUUCAUCCAUCCAUCCAUCCAUCCAUCCAUCCAUCCAUCCUGUCUUUUUUCAUCAUCGUAAUUCCACGAAAGAAAUUAAAGGAAAGAUCGUAGAAAAGGAAAAGCAACAAAAAAAAAGUAAUACACGCAGGCACACACACGGAGAGAGAGAGAGAGAGAGAGAGAGAGAGAGAGAGAGAGAGAGAGAGAGAGAGAAAACAUACACGAACACGGGGGAAGAAAAAAGCCGGCUCAUGGUUAGCACGCCGAUUAUGACGAGGAAAAAGUGUACUACCAACGAAUAACACGCCUCCCCCGUUUUUUUUUUUUCCCUCCCCCUUUCUUUUCCCCGACCCUAACGAUCCCUCGUUCCUACGCCUUUGCGCGUUUGACAGGUGCGUUCGAGACGCGCGUGAACGAGUAAGAGAAAGACAGAAAGAAGGGACGAUAAGAUCAGUUAAAAGAGAGAGAGAGAGAGAGAGAAAAAGGGAG